rnacentral:rRNA from 1 species
CCUACGGGAGGCAGCAGUGGGGAAUAUUGGACAAUGGGGGAAACCCUGAUCCAGCAAUGCCGCGUGAGUGAUGAAGGCCUUAGGGUCGUAAAGCUCUUUUACCAGGGAUGAUAAUGACAGUACCUGGAGAAUAAGCUCCGGCUAACUCCGUGCCAGCAGCCGCGGUAAUACGGAGGGAGCUAGCGUUGUUCGGAAUUACUGGGCGUAAAGCGUGCGUAGGCGGUUAUUCAAGUCAGAGGUGAAAGCCCGGGGCUCAACCCCGGAACGGCCUUUGAAACUAGAUAACUAGAAUCUUGGAGAGGUCAGUGGAAUUCCGAGUGUAGAGGUGAAAUUCGUAGAUAUUCGGAAGAACACCAGUGGCGAAGGCGACUGACUGGACAAGUAUUGACGCUGAGGUACGAAAGCGUGGGGAGCAAACAGGAUUAGAUACCCUGGUAGUCCACGCCGUAAACGAUGAUAACUAGCUGUCCGGACACUUGGUGUUUGGGUGGCGCAGCUAACGCAUUAAGUUAUCCGCCUGGGGAGUACGGUCGCAAGNUUAAAACUCAAAUGAAAUUGACGGNNGAAGAGUGCGAGAGACAGAGGAGAG